rnacentral:rRNA from 1 species
UACGUAGGGGGCAAGCGUUGUCCGGAAUUAUUGGGCGUAAAGAGCGUGUAGGCGGUCCGGUAAGUCAGCUGUGAAAGUCAAGGGCUCAACCCUUGAAUGCCGGUUGAUACUGUCGGGCUAGAGUCCGGAAGAGGCGAGUGGAAUUCCUGGUGUAGCGGUGAAAUGCGCAGAUAUCAGGAAGAACACCCGUGGCGAAAGCGGCUCUCUGGAACGGUACUGACGCUGAGACGCGAAAGCGUGGGGAGCAAACAGG